rnacentral:rRNA from 1 species
GUCUAUAUGAACAUUUAUACAGUCUAACCUGCUCGUUGACGUUUGUUAAAAGGCCGCGGUAUUUUGACCGUGCAAAGGUAGCAUAAUCAUUAGUUCUUUAAUUUGGAACUGGUAUGAAAGGUUGAACAAAGAAAAGACUGUCUCUAUUGUAAGUCUUAAACUUGACUUUUAAGUGAAAAGGCUUAAAUAAUUUAGAGGGACGAUAAGACCCUAUAAAGCUUUAUAAAGAAUAAAAGUUAAUGAAGAAUUAAAUAAAUUUAUAAUUUUGUGAUUUUAUUUUGUUGGGGUGAUGUUUAUAUAAAUUGUUGUAACUGUAAAAAAUUGUAACAUGGAAUAGGUGAGUUUGAAUGUAAUUGAUCCUUUUUAAAGAUUUAAAUCUAAGUUACUUUAGGGAUAACAGCGUUAUUUCUUUUGAGAGUUCAAAUCGAAAAAGAAGUUUGCGACCUCGAUGUUGAAUUAAAUUAUCUGAAUAGUGUAGCAGCUAAAAGAGAAAGUCUGUUCGACUUUUAAAUAUUUACAUGAUUUGAGUUCAGACCGGCGUAAGCCAGGUCGGUUUCUAUCUUCUAAUUAGAGAUAAUUACUUUAGUACGAAAGGAUUAAGUAAUUAAAAUAUUUUUGUAUAGGACAA